UGGGGAAUAUUGCACAAUGGGGGAAACCCUGAUGCAGCGACGCCGCGUGAACGAAGAGGUAUUUCGGUAUGUAAAGUUCUAUCAGCAGGGAAGAUAAUGACGAUACCUGACUAAGAAGCACCGGCUAAAUACGUGCCAGCAGCCGCGGUAAUACGUAUGGUGCAAGCGUUAUCCGGAUUUACUGGGUGUAAAGGGAGCGCAGGCGGUGCGGCAAGUCUGAUGUGAAAGCCCGGGGCUCAACCCGGUACUGCAUUGGAAACUGUCGUACUAGAGUGUCGGAGGGGUAAGUGGAAUUCCUAGUGUAGCGGUGAAAUGCGUAGAUAUUAGGAGGAACACCAGUGGCGAAGGCGGCUUACUGGACGAUAACUGACGCU
rnacentral:rRNA from 1 species